UCAUAGUUGCAUUAAAAGAUGUGUUAUAAAACCACAAACAUACUCAUCCAAUCCUUUUCUUAUGUCUGGAACACACAGUCAGAGUCAAAACUUUGUCUGUUUCUGGUAUCCAUGGUGAAAAUUCAAACUAAUGUCUUCAUGGACGACUAAUUAGUAGGGCUUACACAAACUUGCACAUUGAUGCUCGUAGGUAAGUGUGUGUGUG
rnacentral:misc_RNA from 1 species